rnacentral:rRNA from 1 species
GACGAACGCUGGCGGCGUGCCUAAUACAUGCAAGUCGAACGCACAGUUUAUACCGUAGCUUGCUACACCAUAGACUGUGAGUUGCGAACGGGUGAGUAACGCGUAGGUAACCUGCCUGGUAGCGGGGGAUAAAUAUUGGAAACGAUAGCUAAUACCGCAUAAUAUUAAUUAUUGCAUGAUAAUUAAUUGAAAGGUGCAAUUGCACCACUACCAGAUGGACCUGCGUUGUAUUAGCUAGUAGGUGAGGUAACGGCUCACCUAGGCGACGAUACAUAGCCGACCUGAGAGGGUGAUCGGCCACACUGGGACUGAGACACGGCCCAGACUCCUACGGGAGGCAGCAGUAGGGAAUCUUCGGCAAUGGACGAAAGUCUGACCGAGCAACGCCGCGUGAGUGAAGAAGGUUUUCGGAUCGUAAAGCUCUGUUGUAAGAGAAGAACGGGUGUGAGAGUGGAAAGUUCACACUGUGACGGUAUCUUACCAGAAAGGGACGGCUAACUACGUG